rnacentral:lncRNA from 1 species
CCACACACACAGGAGUGAAGGCAGCAGAGCCAAGCAGGAACCCGUCCUGCCCCAGGCCUGAGCUUUCUUAAGAGGCUCACGGGGCAGAAAGGUCAUUGCGCAUUUUUGUUGACUAUUGAUUCUCCCCUUCAUUCAACAACUGCACUGAGGCCAGAUCCCAAACUGAGCUCUGAUGAGAUGGAGAGGCAAAGGACACAGUUCCUGCCCCCAAGAAGCUCCCAGACAAGCAGGAGAGAAGGCAGCUCCCAGCCAAGCAGGAGAGAAGGCAGCUCCCAGCCAAGCAGGAGAGAAGGCCGUGGAAAUGAUCCUUCUAAUACCACAGCCUGCCAAUGUCAUCUAGAACUCUGGGGGAUUGGGGGAAAAUGAACAGAACCAGAUUUAAAAAAAACCCUGUCCUUAGCCAGGUGUGGUGGUGGGCGCCUGUAAUCCCAGCUACUUGGGAGGCUGAGGCAG